UACGUAGGGUGCAAGCGUUGUCCGGAAUUAUUGGGCGUAAAGAGCUCGUAGGCGGUCUGUCGCGUCUGCCGUGAAAACCCGAGGCUUAACCUCGGGCUGGCGGUGGAUACGGGCAGACUAGAGUGUGGUAGGGGAGACUGGAAUUCCUGGUGUAGCGGUGAAAUGCGCAGAUAUCAGGAGGAACACCGAUGGCGAAGGCAGGUCUCUGGGCCACUACUGACGCUGAGAAGCGAAAGCAUGGGGGAGCGAACAGG
rnacentral:rRNA from 1 species